ensembl:lncRNA
AGCGGGGCUCGGAUGGGAGCGGCCCGCGCCAGAUCCGAGGGCGAUUGCCUCUCCAGCCUGCGGAGGGUACGGCCGCGAGUGCCUCCAAAUCACUAGGGGACUCUGAACGUGUUGCUCCCGUCAACUCGCUCAACAUGAUUCAUUUAUUCACUUAGAUAAACCACCACCGCCACACCAACCUGCCACUUGAUGCGCACUUAAAAGGACAGGGGAGCGCGGGCCAGGCAGACCCUCCGCCGGACAGGACUCGGGGAGAAACGUGUUUUAAAAUCCAAGCUCUUGAGCUUCUAACCAGGGAGCGCGCGCGAGUGUGUGAAGAGGCUGAGAACCUCGGUUUUCAGAGACUCUAGAAUAAACUUCUCGCCCCCCUCUCCUCCCGAGGACAGUCGGGACUGUGGGUGAUCGAGUCUCAUUGGGUCGGGUCGGCCUUCUAAGUUGGCGGGGCCCUGCGGGACCGGUCUGCUUGACCCGACCGCGCUCGCAUUGGAGAGCCGAGGCUCGAUCGGUCUGCCGGGCUGCAUAACCCCCGCCCCGCAGCAGCGGCGUCCCUCGCGCGCCGCCGCGUUUCCCGCGCUCUCGGCCCGUACUUCCCGGCGCGGCCUACAAGGCCCCGCGCGGCCCCGCCUCCGGGUCCCGCUCGGUCUCCGGCUGCGAGAGGGAAGGCGGAGGUUAUCCGCCGAGGGACAAGCGGCGCGGACCGAAAUGUCUAUUAGAAUCAUCCAGAGCAUGGAUUGGACUGAUGCUGAAGCUCCAGUACUUUGGCCACCUGAUGAGAAGAGCUGACUCCCUGGAGGAGACCCUGAUGCUUUGAAAGAUUGAGGGCAAGAGGAAAAGGGGGUGACAGAGGAUGAGAUAGUUGGAUGGCAUCACAGACUCAAUGGACAUGAGUUUAAGCAAAUUCCGGGAGAUAGUCAAGGACAGGGGAGCCUGAUGUGCUGCAGCCCAUGGGGUCACAAAGAGUUGGACAUGACUGAGUGACUGAACAAUAACAACAACAACGCACACAGAUUAGGAAAGUCCCAAAUUUCAAUCAUCUCUAUGGAAUGGCCUUGAAACAGCAAUGCUCAUGACUACUUAUGAAAUAUCUUCUGUGACAGACAGAUAAUAGACACUCCACCCAUCCUGUCUUAUAAAAAGUAUCUUAUUAUAAAAUGACAAACAUAUAGAAAACAAGAAUAUUAUAAAACCAUGGGUGCACAUUAGUCAUUUUCCAUUUGAUAAGGUCUUUUAAAAUGUAAUAAAAUAUUAUUGAAAUAAUUGAAUUCUCCUGUG